rnacentral:ncRNA from 1 species
UCAGCUGGGGGUGCCGUUGCAAACGGCUGAGAGGAUAGACAAUCCAACCCUUUGAACUUGAUGUGGUUCGUACCAACGGAGGGAAGCGAAAUA